rnacentral:rRNA from 1 species
CUCUCCUCUUCCUGCCGCCUCGGCUCACUCCUCCCACCUCAGCUCUCUCCUCCCUCCAAACCCUAGCCCCACACGCCGCCGGUCGCGCGGCUCCGCCUCCUACUCUCCUCCCCUCGAAGCCCGAGCGCGUCUGACCAUGGGGCGGCCGGCGGCAGCGGGCGAGCGGGGGCGGCUGGGCGCGCCGAGCGGGGGCCGGUGUGGCAGGCGAACAGCGGCAGCCGGAGGCGAGGCCAAGGGCGGGCGAGCAGCAAGCGCACGGGGCUGGCAAGGCAGCGCGGGCGCGGGCGCGUCUGCGGGCAGCAACGGCAACAGCGCGUAGCAGCAGGCAGCGGCGACCGCGAGCGCGCGGGGCUGGCGAGGAUGCGGCAGCGUGGCAGGGCGGCGAGCAACGGGAAGUAGCAGGAGCUCGCCGCGCGUGUGGAGCUGCGUGGACCAGCGGGUCGACGCUCCGUGCUCUCCCUACGCCGCAGCAGCCUCUUCGCGUCUCCCCGCCCCUGCCGCCGCCGGUGACCCCUGUGCCCCUUCUUCUCCGUGCUCGGCCACCCCGCGCCACUGCUGCACCUGUCGCUUCUCCCUCCGCCUCUAGACUGGGCAUGUGGAGCGCGGCGCUGUCGCCAUUGUCCUCGACGUACGGGGAGCGCUGGCUGCAGAGAAGGCCAUCCACGGUGCCGUCGCCCCACAACAGAGAAGGUCGAGAAGGAUUCUGGGUGGUUUGGCCUAUCCCUUAUGCUUUUCCCUUUUCAAUUUACGCUUUGCUGCUCUUCGAUUUGAUCCAUUAUAGUGUUGUAGCUGCAAGUGUUGGACUGGUCGUUCCUCUAACCGGAGGCCUUGCGAUGGUUCUGUUGGGUUCAGGUAAAACCAGGCAAUGAACUUUGGAGUUAGUAUCCUCAAGUUACUUUUUAACUGCAUUACUAGACAGCGGUUGGCUUUCAGUUACCAGGCUUUUCAGGUUUUGCUGCUGUUAAUUGUAUUUGGUAAGUUGCCUCUCAUUGUGCUUGUUGUCGGAACCAGCAACAGCAGAAGCUUGCCUGCUGCCCUACCUCUUCAGCAAUCUGAUGGAUUUACAGGCUUGUUUGUUUCAUUGGUGGCUUGCUGCUCGGGUUCUUUGUUGAUUUUGUUGGAUGUGUGUGUUGUUUACCAACAAGGAGCUUCAUAAGGGUUGCUCACCAAUGAACUAGAAGAUUGUUUUGUCCUGGGCACUCACACGAUUAAGGAAGAAAUUGGUUAUUCCUGGAUGUGCUAUGCAGAUCAAAGUUGUUUCCAAAUGUGCAGGCAACUGGAAGGAGAAUGCACAUCUCUUGUCAUUAUGUUGUACAAGCUCAUGUGGAAUUCAAUUUUAGGUUGUUUGAUAUGGUGCAAGGGCAUGCCCUAAAUGAGAGAAAGAACCAACACAAGGGGAGGAGCAGGGGUCAAACAACCGAUAUCUUGGCAAUCACUCUAUUUCUGACUUUCUAUGUUAUUGUUUUCAUUCGUUAUGAGGAAGGGGAUAACCAUCUGAUUCGGAUAUACAAAAUUGUGUAUUAAACCAUUUAAUCAUAUUGACCUACUGGACUAUUACCUUGUGUGAAGUUGCUUACCAUGGGCCUCUAUUCCUAUAGUAGACUUCUAAUUUCAUGAUGCUACUGAGUUUACAAUUGAAGUUGCUUACCAUGGGCCUGUAUUGCUUUUCUAAUUUCAUCAAUUGAGUACUUUGAUGUUUCAGAGUUUAUACCAUGAGUGCAUCUGCAGCAAUUUGGUAUCUGGUUUUUAUUUCAUUUUCUUACAAUUCACAAUAAGCCUUCUCGAAUAAAUCACAGUGUGACCUAAUCUUACGUGAUUGGAUGUCGCCUAAGUAUGCUUCCUGCUAUUUUUUACACUAUUGUUAACGCCAAACUGUUGUCAUGACUUACUGGUGAAAUUUAGAAGUGAUAUAUCUGCGCAUAUAUACGGGUAUUUAACAUAACAUGAUCUGCAUAUUCUGAAUCUGCAGUUCUGCACUAUGCUUUGCUGGAUGUCGCCUAAGCAGAGGAUGCGGCAGUCUUGGCCACAUUUGGUUUUCAUAAGCUAAUAUGGGGUUUCUUUCCCUUUUAUUCUUGCAAGAUAUGGUUCUUUGUUGGUUCAUUCGACCAUGCCGUUAACCAACAAGGCCUCUGAUCCUGUCUGUAGUGUGCGGCUAGGUUGUUCCUCCGCCUGGGUUGUAGCUUCUUUCCUUUCUGCCGACGGCAGGUACAAGACUCGAGCAAUGGUUAACGGGCAAGCACUAUAUACACCAUUCAUCUAUGCUAAUAUAAUCUGUCUUUUAAAGCCAAUGUAUGCUAUCACCAAGUGAUCUGAAUAUUUUGUUUCAAGCAUCAAGCUUUCAUGUAAUGGAAUAUAAGUAUCUUUAAGUUGAUUCUAAAUCAAU